GGAGACGUAUCGAAGAGGUCAUAACGAGCGCGACUCGAAAUCGUGUUGUCGGGCAACCGGCACGUGGGUUCGAAUCCCACCGUCUCCG
rnacentral:tRNA from 1 species